rnacentral:rRNA from 1 species
UAGGGAAUCUUCUGCAAUGGACGAAAGUCUGACCGAGCAACGCCGCGUGAGUGAAGAAGGUUUUCGGAUCGUAAAACUCUGUUGUUAGAGAAGAACAAGGACGUUAGUAACUGAACGUCCCCUGACGGUAUCUAACCAGAAAGCCACGGCUAACUACGUGCCAGCAGCCGCGGUAAUACGUAGGUGGCAAGCGUUGUCCGGAUUUAUUGGGCGUAAAGCGAGCGCAGGCGGUUUCUUAAGUCUGAUGUGAAAGCCCCCGGCUCAACCGGGGAGGGUCAUUGGAAACUGGGAGACUUGAGUGCAGAAGAGGGGAGUGGAAUUCCAUGUGUGGCGGUGAAAUGCGUAGAUAUAUGGAGGAACAGCAGUGGCGAAGGCGGCUCUCUGGUCUGUAACUGACGCUGAGGCUCGAAAGCGUGGGGAGCAAACAGG